ensembl:lncRNA
GCUGCCUCCUUCCACGGGCACUCGUGGAGCCGUGCGCCAGCCCAAGAGACACUGGGGAAGUUACUGGCCUGGGUGAAAGACAUGGAGGAGCUCAUGGCCGGCCAGAAACCUCCUUCCUCUGAGGCCAAGGUGGCGAGAGCUCAACUCCAAGAGCAGAAGGUGAGUUUUGCUCCUGCUGGCGGGAGGCCGGCUUUGGCCCUUGGCCCUUGGGAAUGACCCUCCCUCAAGUCAGGCCUGCUGCCCAGUUCCUGUGUGGGCACAGCGGUGAGGGCAGAAAUGGGUGGACAUGGGCCAAGAUGCACCACGCUCUCCCAGAGAACCCUGCCAGGGCCAAAGAUGGCGGGGGGGGCAUUCCUGAUGAGCCUCUAGGCACCUCUGUGCCUUGGCACACCUUGGGGCUCGGGAGGAAGGGCGGCUGGCGUGGGCCAGUGAACCGCCCCUUCUUCCCGGGGUUCUUGAGCACCUCCAGGGCACCGUCCUUAGGGGGAAAACCUUAUCUGAAACAAGAAACAGAACAGAUUGCUUAGUUCAGUGGUUAUAAAAAGAGACAAGAGUCCAAUCGUCAGAAGUACCCGAGGAAGGGGACUGCCGUCCACAAAAGCUCAGUGCAGAAGCUGUGGUGUAGGAAGUGCGGGAAGUAAUAAAGUACCCCGAGCAACUGGUUGGCACAAGAAAGAAAGAAGGAGGGAGAAAGAAAGAAAGAAAGGAAAGGGAGAGGGAGAGAGAAAGCUAAGCUAAGCUAUGGUAGCUCUUUCAAGCCAAAGCUUUAAAGCCAAGCUAAGGCUGAAGAGCGAUCCGGGCGCUGCCCUCUCUGGCCGUGGCGCUUCAGCCAGCCUCCAGAUCAGUGACCCUCGGAAGCAUUCCGCAUGGCCAUGGGGCAGAAGGCUCUGGGUCAUGGCCGGGAAUCCUCCUGGCACCGCUCACCUGCCGCCCUACAGCUUCUCCGGCGCCUCCUGGACGAGCGGAGACCCCUCGUGGAGCACCUCCUGCAGGGGAGGCAGCAGAACCCCCCGGAGCCUUCCCUGGCCAAGGAGGGGUGGGAGACGAACCUCUCCAGCCUUCAGGAGACGUGGGCGACCCUCAUCCAGAGAGCCGAAGGCAGGCACCGCUCCUUGGAGAAGAUCCUUCCCACGGCCUGCACCUUCCAGGAAUCAGUGGACGCUUUCCAGGACUGGCUGGGCUCCACCGAGAGGAAACUGGCCCAGCUCUGGCGAGCCAACGGGAAUCUGAACCCCACCCAGGAGGCCCAUCAGCAAAUCCAGGUGCAGCGUUGGGUGGCUGGGGAGGGGGGAACGGGCCCUUUACGCUGCACUUGGGGGGGUGGCAUAGGGGUGCUUUGUGUCAGGGUUGAGGGGGACCCAUCCGAUACCCCCGGGGAGCCCUUGCUCCUCGCCUGACAUGGAAAUGGUGCAGCAAAGGGUCAGGAGAGUGGCCGGCUGUGUACCGUGCAGCCCAUCUGGGGGGAGGGAAUGCCAGGACAGACCCCCCCUCUCACCAUGGGAAGACACCACCCCACUGGCCAAGCCCAUGGCCGAGGCAGCGCCCCCUGAAUGGCCAUCAUCUUCCGCGGGGCUGGGAGAUGGACCCCUCGGGGGGGGCGGGGCCAAGGGUCCAGACAGGCAAGGCUUCUGCAAAAUGGCUUGGCUCAAGGGGAGUAGGAGCUCCGCGCUUUGGCCAGGGGGGCAUGCUAUAGUGGGGAGAGAGAGAGAGAGAGACUGCUCUUUAACACUUAAAAUGGCUGCCUUCCAUCUAGGGUCUGUGUGAGGAAAUCCGCGCCAAGACGGCUGAACUGGAAGGCGCCCUGGGACACGGACAGCGGCUGAUGGAGAUGGUGCCAGGCAAGUGGCCGAGGCCCAGCCGAGGAGGCUCAGGGCAGUCGCCGCCAGCCAGUGGGGAAGGCCGGCUGGGGAACCGGUGGAGAGGGCCUGCUGCGGUGCCGGGGCGGGAGGACGCCCCCUGUGCCCCCGAGGCCUUCCUCUCUCGCUGGUCCUUCUCGGCUGCAGCUUCCCUCGGGCGCACCUGGGCAUGGGAUGGGGAUAGCCUAGGGUCGGCUUCCGGGCGAUGGGUCGGUUCCGAAGGCAGGUCGGGCCGGGGGCCCUGCCGCCCACCUCCCCCCAUCCCGUGGGGCUGAGCCGACGCUGACCUCUGGUCCCGCCCGUAGAGGAAGAGGCCCACCUGGCCCAGGAGAAGAUGGACUCCGUCCGGAUGCGGUUCCUGAUCGUGGGCCAGAGCAGUGCCGACAUCCUGCAGCGCUUGGAGCAGGCCAGGGAGGCCUCCGCCCGCCUGGACGCCACCCAGGAGGACUUGGCCCUCUGGCUGGCCCGCCUGGAGAAGGAGCUGCUCCCGGAGGGCGGCUGGCCAGAAGGUGGCCUCGGCCCCGUCACGGCUGCAGAUGUG